UCUUCCUGAGCCCCUCCGAGCCAAGGCCGGCCCAGCAGGCGCCUGUGCUUCUGUAGUCUCUUCUGCCCUGCCUGCCCGCUCUGGGUUUGGUGUAAUAGAAAGAGAUGUGGAUGAGGAGCCGGGCACUUGGGCCUGGGUGGCUCUGCCACUCCCUAGCACAGCACUGAGCAAGUCAUCCCCCGCUCCAGCAUCGGCUUCCUUUUCCGAGAAAUGGGAACACUUGCAUCUCCGCUACCUACGACACUGAGGUGUCAUGGGGAGAAAAAACCCUAGAUGGGGAAGGCCUUCGGAAGAGGAAGGCAUGCUGGUAAAAAAAACUCAUUCACAUGACAGAGCAACGCUGGUGGUGUUUAGGCAAGCUCCCGAAAGACGCAUGGAAUCUUCUCUUUACGAGGAUCUGGAUGUUGAUGGUGCUUACAGGUGUGUGGGUCCCUGCACCAGGAAGGCUAUGAUGGCAUGCACGGGAGUGAGCGCCACCAACAGCUGGGCACACCCGUGCAGGUCCACCCAGGCAGCGAUGUUGAGCCUGAGGAAAUGCGGCUGCCUUCAAACUUUGAUUAGAACCCCAGGGUCGGCUGCAGUCUAGCUUUGGUCACAGCUUUUCUGCAUUCUAUAAAAAGACUCUAAAGGCUCUGAGUGUGGAAGGUUCUCUGGCAUAAGUUCAGCAUUCUUCUCCCUUUCCCAAAUCUCACUCUGGGAAGGCUAUGCAGCUCUGGAAGAGAGACUUCUACCCCACCCUGUAGGUGUCAGGGGUUUUGGCAUUCAGAAGAGCUGGAUGCAGAAGGCAGGCUCAUGGUUCUUUUGAGGAGUCAGGCUGUUCAGGUUUGCACUCCUGGGAGCUUUGAUGGUGUCCCCUACAUGGCUGGAACCAGGAAAGGAAGAGCCGGUGGUUCCUGGAAGAGAGGCGAUGGCUGCUGAGCCACAUGGUCCCAUGAUGUAAUGCUCUGAUGUAAUGAGUUCCCUGCUGCUCCCCGUGGCUGUGGCUGCAGCCCCUUUAAAUGUCCUAGUGUGAUUUCAGCAGCCACAAAGAGGAAGGAAACAGCCUUGAGUACCCCACUUGGGCCAGAGUGGUCAAAAAGGGAGGAGCUAGGGUCCUUGUCCCUGGCAAGGCGGUGGAGUAACAACAAUUAAUAAAAGACCCUACAGGAGCAGUGGCUCUUGGGGGAUAAGGAUCAGGUUGAAAGGUCCUCGCCUGUGCAGAGAUUCUCUCCCCAGUGGCAAGCUAUAGGGCCUGGCUCUGUUACUAGGGAAGGUAUUAGUUCCAUGGCAGAGGUGCAUCGUGGCAAUGUGUCUCUAUCAAAUCUGUAGGUGAAGGGUCAGGCCAUAAGCCUUCCUGUGCCUUCAACUUCGCGAAGAUAAGCUGCUCUGUUGUCUAGCGGAUGACCUGUGAACAACGGCAAGCUGUCCAGCCUGUUGCAACAUGAACCAAAAUCAUGCCCAUCUGGAAUAUGUCUGGGCCCGCCCAUCAUUCCCAGGGAAGUUUGCCUGUUUUCUCAGCAUUUUCUUAAAAGAAGAUGAAAGGAUACCAAGGGUUCUCAAGCCCAGAGUGCUCCUGUUGCUGCAGAGUGGCUGGUAAUGAAGCCGUUCCCCAGGCCCCAGCAUGGUCCUCGUGGUCGGGCUCUGGGCUGCAUGAUCGGGGGAGGCUGACCUAAUUAGCCUGGCUGGGAGCUGCCUGGCAUUGGCAGUGAUAGACGGAACAUCCUCUUCAGAGACCCCCAACGCCCUUUGGUUGCUCCUGAACUGGGUCAGGUGUCCUCUGAACCCACCCUGUAGGGGAAGGGCUGGGAGGACACUUCUGAUGUAAACCCAGAGCACAUGCAAGUUCAAAUCCCCACCAUUCUCUGGCCUCUCUUCCACGUGACACUGGUAUGGGGGUGCCUUUUGAGCAUGUUCCUUCCAGUCACCAAAGUCAGUCUAGUAGGAGCUUCCAUCUGUUCUCUGGAACUUUCUGUAGGUGGCUCUCCAGGGGUACUUGGGAGGACUUCCCUCCUGGACAAGGAAGCCCUGGCAAGGGACCUGGGUGGGGGCUUUGAGAGGCUGUUGGGAUGCAGGGAUGGGGCAGCCAUGCCUGUGGCCACCCAGACAACCUAACCAGAGUCCACCUUAAGAGGCAGAGGGAUGAAGCCACAUGUGGACAAAAAGAUGGGCAGGAACAGAGGGGAGAAGCGGCACACCUGCAGCCAUGAUGCCCCUGCAGGAAGGGAAGGAGCGGUGCAGAGAGCUGGAGAGGCCUCUGAGCAAAGUGUCCAUCAGGGCCCCAGCCGGGGAGAGCCUCUGAGCACAUGCCUCGAGAGAACACCUCCACGGAGGUCGGGGAGGCAGCUGCUAGGGUCCAGGGGACAGCUUGCCAGGACAAGGCCUGUCUCCUCUGACACCCUGCAUCACAGGGCUCUCAGAUCUCCUCUCAGUGCCUGGGCCUCAGUUUCUCCACCUGCAAAGGCCCCUAGCAGCAGAAAGUGAGGGACCAUGGUGAACGACACUUAACCUCGAAGGGAGAGACACUGUCAAAUAUAGUGUAUAAAAAGCCAAACAUGAGAGAAGACAGAGCAUUCUGGUAGAGGGGAGGAGAGGAUUUAAGGGUUUUGUUCCCAGCGGGAAGGUGAGAGGCAAAAGGAUGCUCUGAAAUGACUGUCCCCCUCAUGGCAGCAGGUGGGCAGAUCAAAGCUGCUCAGUGCCUGCCCCGUGGAGGCUUCGGUUGGCUGCCUGGGAGGAGCUGGGUCACCAGGGCCAUCAGCUGAGCUUGGUGGUUUGAGGAGGAGAGGCCUGGGCACAUUCAACGGCCAGAAUGGCGGCCCACAGGCUGGGCACACAAGGCCCCUGAGCAGACUGAGGGGAGCUGCCACGGCUCCUGGCUUGUGCCCGGCACAUGCUGGCUCGAGGACAGCCAGCCCCAGAGGCCCAGAAUUACUGAGUCCAAUCCAAGCCCAGCCCCGGCACUAGAACCUUGCUCCAGCUUCUUUUUCUGGCCCAGUUAGUGCCUACCCCCUUCCAGUUCCAGCUGCAAACAGGAGCCAUGACUCCCUUUCAGGGAAGGCUGGGCCUCUUUCCCUGCCCCCUGUGCCCCCUCCCUCCAGCCUCCCUAACUGGAAACACUGGGACUUAACCAUGGAAACCCUAGGGAGGCCCCGGGGCUCCAGACAGCCGCCUUUGCUGCCCAGAGGUGAGGCCUUGCCUAAAGCUCCAGGCCUCUGACCCCAUGGGCAGUGGGGCACCCUGUAGACAUCCCUGCCUGUAGCUCUUCUUAGUGCCUAGAAGUGGCCCCCACUCCGACCCUGAAAACUCCGGAAUGCUAAGGCUGGUGGGCGAUCAGAGCUCUCACCCUCUGCUUGAACUUUUUCCAAAUAAAUUAACGUUCUAGAUCUCUGACAUUUGUCUCUUUAAGCACAAAUAUUAAUUUUUAAAAAUUCUAAUAAUUUUUUUUGCUUGAGCACACUUCUGGAACGUAUUAAAACUUAUCUGGCCCCUGAACACAGUAUACGAAGCAUAACCUUCUCUUCCCUUGAUGACCUGGGAUUGCUCUCAAGAAUACCCAUUACUGGCCUGAGCUGUCACUGCCUCCUCCCGAGCUCCCAGUAGGAUGUCCAGACACUGCCUCUGGUCAGCCCUGUCUUGGCCCUCAGGGACCUCUGGCUGGCUUGGAGAGUGCUUUUGUGUGGCGUUCCCAGCCCAGUGGGUUCAUCUGGGCUGGAACCAGAGGCUCCUAGUGGAGGAGGGAAGGAUGCAGGCACAGCAGAAGCAUUCUAUCAUUUGAAUGCCUGGGGUCUGCCUCCGCCUCUCUUUAAACAAAGACGGCAAUGUGUGCAGGACUGUGUGGACUAGAGGUCUGGCGUGCUGUGCUCUGAGACCUCCUGUCUGUGUUUCCUUCCUCCUUCGCUGGCAGCUGCUGCCGGUCAGGGUCACAGAACUCACUUGUCACCUGUGGCCCUAUUUUAUCCAUGGGGGCCUGGGAGGAGCUGGAACAUGGACGGGGGCAGCUCCUACCCAACAAAGGAAGGGCCUCCUGGCCAUGGUGCCUCUGUUCUGGAUGAGCGAGGCUGCAGCAGUCUCGGUGGGCUCGUGGUGUGUAGCGGCAGGGACCCUAUGAGGAGCCUGCGUGAACCAGGAGCCAUCCCUAGGACAACACUAACUUCUAUGGCCUCGUCUGUAUUUUCCAGUCUGAGUGUCUAAAAUCUGCUAAACAUUCCUAGUUUGAUUGGCAAUGAUCAUGGCAAACAUGUAAGUGGCCAAAGAUAACAAAGAGAAUUAUAGAGCCAUGGAAGGUCAGGCUACAAGUGACCUUAGUGACCUUUUAGUCCAGCCUCUCGCUCAGAUGGGGCAACCGAGACACAGGCAAGGGAAUGAUUUGUCAAAGGUCAGAGCAACAACAGAGGCAGAGCGAGGCCCAGGCCAGCCCGGAGCAGCCAUCCCCUGCCAGGUCUACUUCACAGGACAGCAGCCUCCACUCAGAUCUGCCUGCCCUUGCCGUAGCCCUGUGCAUUUUAAUUGCUUACUCCUUUUCUUAUCAUGCCCUGGGGUAAUUUUACAAAGGGCACAACUACGACAUUCAAACAAAACACAUCUAUUCUCAGGUUAUUUUUCCUGAUGUAAAUCCUUAUGAUUAAAGAGGAAAAUACAACUGUAGGUAAGACAGGCCAAAAAAAAGAAAAAGAAAAAAGAAAUAUUUCAAGCUUGGCCAUCCCCAACAGACCUGAGUCCUGCUAGAAUUUUAGUAACCAAGCCAGUGGAGCCAGCUAGAGAGGGCUGAAAAGGGAGAGACCUAGAAGGGGCUUGGACCACACUGCAGCCUGGCUUCUUCUAUCUGGAAGUGUCCGUGGUGCUUGGAGAGACAGAUGCAGGGUGCGGUUGGGAACCCCACAGGUCCCCCAUAAGAAUGUGGAGUGGCCACCAGCAUCAUGGGAAUAAGACACACACUGCAUCUAAAGAGAUCAGCAAAGUGGCCCAGUGGUGGUUUGAAUCCCUGCUGACCGCCUGCGCCUAGUGACAGGUGCUGGAAGGGCCAAACACGAGGGGGAUGAAUUGGUCAUAUAGGUAGAUUUGCAGGAGUUUUAUUUCAUGCGGGUCAGAGGAUGAAGGGGCACAGGGGCCAGAGCCGUCUCUGCCCUCUGCCAGGCCCUGUGCAAGUGUCCUCCCCCUUAGGGGCCAGAAAAUCUGGGGCCCCCCAAAAGGUGGGUGGUAGGUGUGGGGAGAGCUGCUGAAACACCCGACUCCCUCCCGGGAGAACCGCCCACUAGUGAGCCUCCGAGCUGCACGGCAGCGUCUCAGGAACACACUGUUCUCUUUGUUGGGGCAGAAAUAUGUUCGAUGCUGAUUAUGCAGACCGAUGAGUAGGCCUCUCUCUCGCUCUCUCUCCCUCUAAUCUGGAGUCCUCCUGCUCGGCGGGCACAAUUGCAUGCAAGCGAUCCCGGAAAAAGCACAGAAUGAAUUUUUUUGCCAUCCAUUGUUCUGGAGGCAUUGCGAAUGUCUGACAUUCCAGGUGUAGAGUUGUGUAGCUGACUAGACUUCAGAAAACCUCCCGGUCUGAGCCAGGAGCACUACAACCUGUGAAGAAUGUGCACCCGGCCUGGCUACACAGCAACAGCACCCGAUGGGCCCAGGAGCCAGCAGGAGACCUUUCUUGGAGGAAGGAGUCUUUUUUCUUUGGUUUGAAAAUGCAGGUGAUGUUUUAAAAUUAAAAUUAAAUUAAGAUGCAUGUUAAAAACAAA
rnacentral:lncRNA from 1 species